rnacentral:rRNA from 1 species
GACGGAGAUGUUUUGAAAGCUUGCUGACAGACAUCUUAGUGGCGCACGGGUGAGUAACACGUGGGCAACCUACCCGGGAGUUCGGGAUAACAGUGCGAAAGUACUGCUAAUACCGGAUAUUUUCACGAAGCUGCAUGGUUUUGUGAAGAAAGUUUUUCGCUUCCGGAUGGGCCCGCGUCCCAUUAGCUAGUUGGUGAGGUAACAGCUCACCAAGGCGACGAUGGGUAGCUGGUCUGAGAGGACGGUCAGCCACACUGGAACUGAGACACGGUCCAGACUCCUACGGGAGGCAGCAGUGGGGAAUCUUGCGCAAUGGGCGGAAGCCUGACGCAGCAACGCCGCGUGAAUGAUGAAGGCCUUCGGGUUGUAAAGUUCUGUCAGGGGGGACGAUAAUGACGGUACCCCCGGAGGAAGCCCCGGCUAGCUACGUGCCAGCAGCCGCGGUAUACGUAAGGGGCGAGCGUUGUCCGGAAUUAUUGGGCGUAAAGGGCGUGUAGGCGGCCGAUCAAGUCUGGUGUGAAAAUCCUGGGCUUAACCCCGGAAGUGCAUUGGAAACUGGUUGGCUUGAGUGCGGGAGAGGAAAGUGGAAUUCCCAGUGUAGCGGUGAAAUGCGUAGAUUUGGGAGGAACACCAGUGGCGAAUGCGACUUUCUGGACUGCAACUGACGCUUAAGCGCGAAGCUAGGGGAGCAAACAGGAUUAGAUACCCUGGUAUCCUAGCCGUAAACGAUGGGUACUAGUGUAGGGGUUUAGACCCCUCUGUCCCCAGUUACGCACUAAGUACCCCGCCGGGGAGUACAGCUGCACGCUGAACUCAAUGAUUGAAGGG